rnacentral:rRNA from 1 species
AGAGUUUGAUCAUGGCUCAGGACGAACGCUGGCGGCGUGCCUAACACAUGCAAGUCGAGCGGGGUCCAUCCGGUAGUAAUACCGGGGAAGACCUAGCGGCGAACGGGUGAGUAACACGUGAGAAACCUGCCCCGAAGUCUGGGAUAACCCGAGGAAACUCGAGCUAAUACCGGAUGUCUUCUUCUGAUCGCAUGGUCGGAUGAAGAAAGAUUUAUCGCUUCGGGAGGGUCUCGCGGCCUAUCAGCUAGUUGCGGGGUAACGGCCCACCAAGGCGUCGACGGGUAGCUGGUCUGAGAGGACGAUCAGCCACACUGGGACUGAGACACGGCCCAGACUCCUACGGGAGGCAGCAGUGGGGAAUAUUGCGCAAUGGGCGAAAGCCUGACGCAGCAACGCCGCGUGCGGGAUGAAGGCCUUCGGGUUGUAAACCGCUUUCAGUGGGGACGAAUUCAGACGGUACCCACAGAAGAAGCCCCGGCCAACUACGUG